rnacentral:lncRNA from 1 species
UUUAUUUUUUCCCAAAAAGACCCUUCAGCAUUAAAGAAGCAUUAAAGAGGCAUUAAAGACCUAAUUUUUAUUAAGGGCAUAAUAGGAAUUAUACAUAACUUUUCUAAGAAAGUGGAUGGUCAACCAAACAUAAGCACUUUGGAAAUUUGUCACUUUCCCAUGGUUAACCAAACAUGCCAAAAAUACUUUCCUAGGUAUCCUCUUCCUAGGAAUAUGAUUCCCAGGAAUCAUAUUCCUAGGAGGGAAAAUACUUCCCGCGAACCAAACGAGCCCUGA